AAAUCAUGAUGUGGGCAACUACUCAGUAAAUCCUUGAAACAUUCCUAACAAUCAUAUAAGGUCUCAUUCUCCUAACAAUCAUAUAAGGUCUCAUUCUCUUACUGAAGAAAUCCUGCUAUGUCAUUCCUCAACUU
rnacentral:snoRNA from 1 species